rnacentral:rRNA from 1 species
UACAGAGGUGGCAAGCGUUGUUCGGAAUUACUGGGCGUAAAGGGUGCGUAGGUGGCGCGCUAAGUCAGGUGUGAAAUUUCGGAGCUUAACUCCGAAACUGCAUUUGAUACUGGCGUGCUUGAGGACUGGAGAGGAGACUGGAAUUCAUGGUGUAGCAGUGAAAUGCGUAGAGAUCAUGAGGAAGACCAGUGGCGAAGGCGGGUCUCUGGGCCUGUUCUGACGCUGAGGAGCGAAAGCAUGGGGAGCGAACAGG